CCGCCACCGCAGCCCGCCCUCCCCGCCACCGCAUCCCGCCCCUCCACCAUUCCAGGCCGCGGCGCCGCCCCCUCCCCCAACCCUCGAGGAUCUUUCCCCUUCCCCCAACCCUAGCCGCCGCACACAGCAGCCAUGGUGGACUGCACCUUCAGCGCCGGCAGCCGCCGCUCGUCCAUGCUAUGAAGCCCUCCCCACCGUGCUCGCCUUCGUCCGCCGCCGUCGCGAACCGUUUCCUCUGUCCCCGACCACACAUCCCCGCCCUCGUACACCGCCAUCACCGACCGGCUCCUCCGUCCCUGACAAGUCAUCUUCGUCCUGCUCGCCGUCUUUCGCCGAAGAACCGGGUGGCUAUGUCGAUUCUCUGCCUCCUCGACCACCUCUUCCGAUUUUGUGAAGACGUUUGUGCUUCGUGGAUGGCGAGGGUCAGAGCCGUGGCUCGACAUGUCGCCGCCGGCAUGCUUGUGGCAGAGCAUGGCGGGAGUCGGGGCGGCGUUGUGGUCUAAGGAGAAGCAAGGGUGGCAGCUGCAACUGAGCUUCGAUGUUGGCCUCUCCUGUUCAUUUUUGUUGGCCUGACGUACUUACUGGCAGCAUUCUACGUGAGGGAUUCAGCGUGCCUCUAUUUGAGAUAAAAAUAUAGAGGCAAAUUUUCAGGAAUUGAUAUUCCAAUCAAUCUGCUGAUGCGGUAUUUGGGGAGAUGAAGGGUGCCGAUGGGUUCAAUCUAGGGCCCGUCUUUCUCGAUCUACAUUCAUGCUUCACAACAGUUCACCUUCCCACAAUUGCUCAGGCUGCACAUCUGCUGGCUCAUGUGAGUAUGGAUGCCUUGUAUCUUGCAGUUCUUUCUAACUGAGUAUUAUUGCAGAUUCCAAAAUAGGACUAACUUCUGCUUGUUUUCUAAUCUAUUCAUUGUACCUCAAGGUGAACCAAUCUAUCCCACGAGAGCCUAUUUUUCUUAAUUCUACAAUAGAGGAUGCCAUAGUUUUCGUUUUUUGCUUGGGCUUGUUAGGAACUACAGUAAAUGUUUACCUGAAAGCUAAUGCUGUUGCACAAUGUCUUCUUUACCGUUUCAUUUUUAUUGGGAGAAAAAUGAUGCUUUUCAUAAAUUGUGCUAAUGUGAACAUGAGUUGUGCGUGUUGAUAUAAAUGUAUUGGAAAAAUGGUCUGGUUGCGGAACAUUUGGUACACAAUUUUUUAUUCAAGAUGGAACAAGUUUGUUAUCGAUAUUCCAGUAAAUGGUUUGUAUAGUUUGCUUUGUUAUUAAUCAAACAUAUGGUUGUAUGGUUAUGGAUUUCAGAGGAAUAUUGAUACAAAACAGAUAGUCUUUUUCUUUUUCAUUUCCUGAUAUGCCAUUUAACUUCGCCAAACAGAACAAAGAUAGCUACGAAGAAGAGCAUGUAUAAUUGAAAUACUUGUGUGAUGUCUACAUUUUUGUCCUCAUAUAUCCGCUGUUCAUCUCAAUCCAGUAGACACAAUUUUGUUAUUAUGUGCUGAUAUGCUCUGCAAUUUACUAACAAUAAUCUUGUGUAAUGCACACUAACAUGGCCAGAUGGUAUACUGCAUUGGGUUUUCCCUGUCGGUUAAGAUUUCCAUGUGUUCUAAUCUGCCCCUCAAUAUAUUUAUGUUCACUCUUUCAAUACUUGCCUUACUCUAGCCCCUUGCGCCAUCGGCGCAAUGGGUCAUCUAGUGUAUUGUUCAUAGAAGAUCCUGUCACGACCGGUUUUUCAAUAAAAAUGUUUAUUGAGAAACCAAUCUUUUGAAUCCAGUAUGAGAAAAAUCCUCCUUUCCGGUAGACAAAUUCUUGA